CCUACGGGGGGCAGCAGUGGGGAAUUUUGCGCAAUGGGCGAAAGCCUGACGCAGCAACGCCGCGUGGGUGAUGAAGGUCUUCGGAUCGUAAAACCCUGUCGUCAGGGACGAAGGGUUGCGACCUAAUACGUCGUAACUUUGACGGUACCUGGAGAGGAAGCCCCGGCUAACUCUGUGCCAGCAGCCGCGGUAAUACAGAGGGGGCAAGCGUUAUUCGGAAUUAUUGGGCGUAAAGGGCGCGUAGGCGGUGAUUUAAGUGAGAUGUGUAAUCCCCG
rnacentral:rRNA from 1 species